UUUCCGUAGGUGAACCUGCGGAAGGAUCAUUAACGAGUUAGGGUCCUUUAGGCCCUACCUCCCAACCCUAUGUUUAUUGAACCUCUGUUGCUUCGGCGGACCCGUCUCACGGCCGCCGGAGGACCGCUGCGAGGCGUCCUCUGGCCAGCGUCCGCCGAUGGCCAACCCACUAAACUCUGAAUGAAUCGUGUCAUAUGUCUAAGUCUAUGAUUAAAUUAAAGCAAAACUUUCAACAACGGAUCUCUUGGUUCUG
rnacentral:misc_RNA from 1 species